AGCACUCCAAGCACUCCGCGUGUAAUCACAGAGAUGGCACCGAAGUCAGAGUCCUGAGUCUUAACAUCACUGGAUAAUUAUUAUUGAUGUGUUGGGCAUCGUACACAGGACCUGGGUGCUCUGGGAGAGGCUCGGUAUACAAGAGCAGGUAAACAAGUAAGUAGAGAUUGCCAGGCUGACUGAGAAGACUGUCCUCGCCCUCAAGAAACAACGAGCAUCUAGCUCCCUUGACGACAGCUGUGACAGAAUGUUGGCUCAUUGUUCCAAGAAGUCCGAGGUGGAGUUCAGUGGAAGAUUGCUUGUCGACACAUGUUGAUGCCCAGAACUCCCUCAAAAUGGCUGAAAACUCAGACUUGAAGUAGAAACUUCUAGUUCUUUGGAAAGUUAUGUCAAAUGAUGUUUUCCUGAAGCACACACAGGUGAAAGAAUGUUUUGAUAUAGCGAACACAUAAAAGGACACUUAAUGAAGGAGUAUAAAUAUGACCCCACAGACAGUGGGUGACAAGCACUGAGCCUUGGUUUGGUUUGCUCUGCCUCGCUAUUCUUCUUUAAAGACAUGCACAUAUUGGUUCCCCCUUACAUAGUGUUAUUGAGCUCAACUCGUGAGAGAAACUCUCCCAAGAACUGCUCGUAAGGUUCCUGCAGCAGCUUGCAACUUCAGCGGCCUCACCUUAGGCCUGUUGGUGAGCCUGGCAGUUUCUUCAGGAUCAAACGACUGCUGCCUGGUGUCUGCUUGCUGGAAGGACUGAACUGAAGCUGCUGGUUUGUGCCUGGUGUCUGCCUGCCUAGAGGACUGGUCUGCAACUGCUCGGUCGCAUUUGGUGUUUGCUAUGAGACUGAAGUGUGCCCAAG
rnacentral:lncRNA from 1 species